rnacentral:rRNA from 1 species
ACGAACGCUGGCGGCGUGCUUAACACAUGCCAGUCGAACGGAAAGGCCCUGCUUUUGUGGGGUGCUCGAGUGGCGAACGGGUGAGUAACACGUGAGUAACCUGCCCUUGACUUUGGGAUAACUUCGGGAAACUGGGGCUAAUACCGGAUAGGAGCUCCUGCUGCAUGGUGGGGGUUGGAAAGUUUCGGCGGUUGGGGAUGGACUCGCGGCUUAUCAGCUUGUUGGUGGGGUAGUGGCUUACCAAGGCUUUGACGGGUAGCCGGCCUGAGAGGGUGACCGGCCACAUUGGGACUGAGAUACGGCCCAGACUCCUACGGGAGGCAGCAGUGGGGAAUAUUGCACAAUGGGCGGAAGCCUGAUGCAGCAACGCCGCGUGCGGGAUGACGGCCUUCGGGUUGUAAACCGCUUUCGCCUGUGACGAAGCGUGAGUGACGGUAAUGGGUAAAGAAGCACCGGCUAACUACGUG